UGGAAUAUCUGUCAAAUGGAAUAGGUCAAAUGCAAUAUCUGUCAAAUGGAAUAUCUGUCAAAUGGAAUAGGUCAAAUGUAAUAUCGGUCAAAUGGAAUAGGUCAAAUGUAAUAUCUGUCAAAUGGAAUAUCUGUCAAAUGGAAUAGGUCAAAUGUAAUAUCGGUCAAAUGGAAUAGGUCAAAUGUAAUAUCUGUCAAAUUGAAUAGGUCAAAUGUAAUAUCUAUCAAAUGGAAUAGGUCAAAUGUAAUAUCUAUCAAAUGGAAUAGGUCAAAUGGAAUAUCUGUCAAACAGUAACAGAUACUAAAAAAAUAUUCAAU